rnacentral:rRNA from 1 species
GACAGAGGGUGCAAACGUUGCUCGGAAUCACUGGGCAUAAAGCGCACGUAGGCCGUUUUCUAAGUCUGAUGUGAAAUCCCCCGGCUCAACCGGGGAACUGCACCAGAUACUGGAAAACUCGAGAGUUGUAGGGGUGGACGGAACUCCAGGUGGAGCAGUGAAAUGCGUAGAUAUCUGGAGGAACACCGGAGGCGAAAGCGGUCCACUGGGCAACUUCUGACGCUGAGGUGCGAAAGCUAGGGUAGCAAACGGG